rnacentral:rRNA from 1 species
AGUGAACGCUGGCGGUAGGCCUAACACAUGCAAGUCGAACGGCAGCACAGUAAGAGCUUGCUCUUACGGGUGGCGAGUGGCGGAAGGGUGAGGAAUACAUCGGAAUCUACUUUUUCGUGGGGGAUAACGUAGGGAAACUUACGCUAAUACCGCAUACGACCUACGGGUGAAAGCAGGGGAUCUUCGGACCUUGCGCGAUUGAAUGAGCCGAUGUCGGAUUAGCUAGUUGGCGGGGUAAAGGCCCACCAAGGCGACGAUCCGUAGCUGGUCUGAGAGGAUGAUCAGCCACACUGGAACUGGAACACGGUCCAGACUCCUACGGGAGGCAGCAGUGGGGAAUAUUGGACAAUGGGCGCAAGCCUGAUCCAGCCAUACCGCGUGGGUGAAGAAGGCCUUCGGGUUUUAAAGCCCUUUUGUUGGGAAAGAAAAGCAGCAGGUUAAUACCCCGCUGUUCUGACGGUACCCAAAGAAUAAGCACCGGCUAACUUCGUG